GAGUUUGAUCAUGGCUCAGGAUGAACGCUGGCGGCGUGCUUAACACAUGCAAGUCGAACGAAGCAGCUUCUGCUGCAAGAAAGCUGACUUAGUGGCGGACGGGUGAGUAACGCGUGGGUAACCUGCCUCAUACAGGGGGAUAACAGUUGGAAACGACUGCUAAGACCGCAUAACCCGCUAGUGUCGCAUGACACGGACGGAAAAAUAUUUAAUUUUAACGAGUUAAAAUUUGGUAUGAGAUGGGCCCGCGUCUGAUUAGCUAGUUGGUAAGGUAACGGCUUACCAAGGCGACGAUCAGUAGCCGACUUGAGAGAGUGAUCGGCCACAUUGGGACUGAGACACGGCCCAAACUCCUACGGGAGGCAGCAGUGGGGAAUAUUGGACAAUGGGGGAAACCCUGAUCCAGCCGACGCCGCGUGAGUGAAGAAGUAUUUCGGUAUGUAAAGCUCUAUCAGCAGGGAAGAUAAUGACAGUACCUGACUAAGAAGCCCCGGCUAACUACGUGCCAGCCGCGGC
rnacentral:rRNA from 1 species